UUUUUUUUUUUUUUUUUUACAUUCAUUGUCAUUUUUUCCUAUAACCAAUUUUACGAUAAUAAGUCUUUAAACAUAACUAAAAAAAUUGGAACCGUAAUCGAAAAAAAUCAAAACCAUGACUAGUGCCGAAGGUUCAAGAACCGUAACCAUAAGCAUCCUUAUAAGGAUCGGUUUAGGUUUUCCUUUUAACAAAAUCAAAAUCUUCAAUUUUUAAAUCGAAAGUAUUGAUUUUAGAACCGUGGUCAUGCCUAUUUGGCAAAUGGGAGCACAUGUUACUCCAAAUCAAAGAAAAUGUGGGGUUGUCAAUCCACUCAAGGUGUGGAAAAUAGAAGUAUAAGCUGAAUUGGUGGAGGCAAGGCAAUUGUAAUAUUUGCAAAAGUAAAUCUUAUAUACACUGAAAAUGUUUACACAUCACCAUUUGAUUCAUGAUAUACAGGAAAUUCUUCCAAACUCGUGGUCUUCACAAUAUUAAUGAUUUUUUCUAUUUUCACGUGAUAAAAUUGGACCUCAUGAUUUGGACUUUUCCAUUGCUAGAUAAUAAUAUAAGAAGGGUUUGUUUGGAUUGGCCUUUAUUUUCCCAAAUAUAUUUGUUUUCAUGAUCAUUACAAUUUUCAAUACACUUUUUUACCUUCUCAAUUACCUUUUUAUCUCACAUACAUCACAUCACAAAAAGUACUACAGUAAAAAUAUCUCAAAUAACUUAUAAUCCAAACAAACCCAGGCAAAGAAAGUUUUGUUGUUGAGUAACUAGUGAUAGAUCUGGAAAGCUUUAGGUAGUUGUGGUGGUAAAUGAGCAGAGAAAAUUAAUUGAUAGGCAAUAUCAUAAUAAUAGCACCACAUAUUUGUAAGUUGUACCUUUUUAGUCUUUCGAUGAUUCAAGUUUGAUGAUUACAAAUUGCAGCUAAGGAGAUAGCCAAGAGAUGAAAUCUUGGAUGGGUUUUAAAGGAUCAAAUAUGGCUUAGUUUCGGUUAUUGCAUCAUAUCAAAUGGGUAAAGAAACAAUAAACAACCCUAAGGGAUGGAAUAGAAUAGAGAAAGGGUUUGUUUUACAUUUAUUUUUUAAAGUUUUUGAUUUGAAUGAGUGUGCAAGAGUUGGGGAUGUUUUUGAAAUAUUUUAUUGUAGUAAUAUAUAUGAAAAACUUUUACUGUAAAUAUUUUUAAUGAUGUUUUUUGAGAUAUUUUUGAGAUAUAUUUUAGGGUAUUUUUAAGAUUUAAAAAUUUUUAGAAUAAUUUUUAAAAAUUAACACUCCACCCACAAUCAAUAUCCACCACCGCUAUCAUCCCCUCUCUCCCUCCUCCUCUCUUAUUCCCGUACCUCUUCCUCCUCCCUCUCUCCCCUCCCACCCUUUCCUUUCCUUCAUUUUCUCGCUAGAACCCGGGCCUCCCCUUCCUUGCUCUUUCCAAUUUAACCUCAUUGAGACCGGAUCCUGGCCUUCGAUUGAGGCCUUCUGGUUGAGGCUAGAGGGGAGGAGAUGGGGUAUCGUGUGGAAGGGAAAAGGAGAGGAGGAGGCAGAGGGAAGGAGAGGAAUGAGGAGGAAAAAGAGGGAGAGGAAAGAGGAGAAAAGAGAGGGAGGAGUAAGAUGGUGGGUGGGGGUGAUAGAUUAAAGAAGAAGAUAAUAUAGAUUUUAUUUUUUAAUUUUUGAUAUAUUUGAAAUUAUUUUUGAUAUAUUGUAUGGAUAUGGUAUUUUUAGAAUUAUUUUUAUAUGUGUUGCUGUAACAUUGUAUGUGAAAAAAUUGGUUUUUCAAAAAGUGGAGAAUCCAAAUAGAGCCUAAGUUCUUUGGACUACAAGAUAUGGUAUCACAAUGUGCUCGGCAUCAUGAUCAUCUAAUUGACAAAUAAGGGUAGCCAUGAUUCAAAUUUGAACUGGAACACAACCGAAAUCAGAUUGACAAUUUAUUGAAUUGCAAGCAACUAGAAUUGAAUUUUGGAAACCAAAAUUGAAACCAUAACCGUGACUAAAAUUUAGGUUCAAAUUCACUAAAAUUUUGAACCAGAAUCAAAAUCAACGGUUUACUAACCGCUCAAACCAUUUGAAAAAAUAUUUGCUACCUAAACGUAUUUAACUAGUUUAGAGUUCAACGUCAAUACUCACCAUUUAAUACUCGUAACUCCAAUUAUGAUCCAACAACUAUUUGUCCCAUUCCAUUAGUAAGUCUAUACUCCAUGACUAAUCUAAAUCCAAGAUGAAUAUAAUUUAAUUAACAAUGAGAUAUUUUUCAUAAAAAUUGCAUCAUUUUUCUUUUUCCUUACACAUGAUAGCAUAAUAAAUUUCUUUCUUUCUUUUUUUUUUUUUUUUUUACAUUCAUUGUCAUUUUUUCCUAUAACCAAUUUUACGAUAAUAAGUCUUUAAACAUAACUAAAAAAAUUGGAACCGUAAUCGGAAAAAAUCAAAACCAUGACUAGUGCCGAAGGUUCAAGAACCGUAACCAUAAGCAUCCUUAUAAGGAUCGGUUUAGGUUUUCCUUUUAACAAAAUCAAAAUCUUCAAUUUUUAAAUCGAAAGUAUUGAUUUUAGAACCGUGGUCAUGCCUAUUUGGCAAAUGGGAGCACAUGUUACUCCAAAUCAAAGAAAAUGUGGGUUGUCAAUCCACUCAAGGUGUGGAAAAUAGAAGUAUAAGCUGAAUUGGUGGAGGCAAGGCAAUUGUAAUAUUUGCAAAAGUAAAUCUUAUAUACACUGAAAGUGUUUACAUUAUCACCAUUUGAUUCAUGAUAUGUAUGCAAAAAUUAAAUUUUAAAUUUGAAUUUUGUAUAGUUGUCAUUCAUCUAACGCUGAUAGUGUAUAUACACUGUUAGUGUAAAAAAAAUUAAUCCUAUUUGAAUCUAAAAGUAAGAAAUAUAAGUGUGUGCUUAAAAUUCCAAGAAGCUGUUAUCUCGAAACGAGCUUUAGACCAACAAAUCCUCAUAAAACAAGGCCAAGAAGCUAUUCAAGAAACCAAUUAUAUAUUGAAUCUUCAGUAAUUAAUCGAUUAGGAAAGUUCUUGACUAAGCAUGCAUAAUGCAAUGGAACAUUUAAACCGUCUUUCUGGACUUCUUAAAUUUGUUGAGCCUUUAGUGUACUUUAGGUUUAAUUUGCCUUGCAUAUGCGACUAAUUUUAAUCCAUAUAUUUUGUUCAGUGACUUGAGUCUAAGGCUUGUCAGUAAAAUUAAUCGCUUGCUAGCAUUAUACAGUUUCAAUAGCAUUUUUUACAUUGUGAUAUAUGCGAGAACAAAAGAUUAUUGAAAAGAUAUAAAUUUUGAUUGGAAAAUAUGUUUAUAAUGCAAACAUAUAAUUUUUUGUAAAUAUAAUGUGAUAUCCAAACAAACCCAUUGUUAUAGCUAUCUUUUAGGCAGAUGAAGAAGCAAAACUGCGUGCCAACUGGUGCAUUGCAUACAAAACAAUUAAGACUUUGUUUGAUAACUCAACUUAAUCCUUAAUUUUAAUGGAUUUAAAUUUUAAUAUUUUCAGAUCGUUUGAUAAGCAAAUAUUGAGCAUCUAAAUUUAAUAAGUGGCACUAAAUUUUUUAUGCAAAAUUUGUUCCAAAAUUAAAUGAUAAACUAUUCAUUUAUCACUGAAUCUGAUAUGCACUCAAAUGUAUUAGAUUUAAUGUUUAACAAUUCAAUAACUUAAUGGAUUCAAAUUUCAUAUUUCAAACUUUAAUUUUAUUAAACGCACCUAAGUAUCAAUCAAGUUCCUAUAACUUCAUGGCAUAAUCCUAUUGCCAUUUCUAGCUCAAACACUGGGUUUGUUUGAAUCCAUUAAACAAUUGACAAAUAAUUCUACAAAUAAUACUCAAUUUUUUGCAUGAGCUUCAAUGUUGAUUAAUUUGUCAAUUGUUUCCAAUUUUUUGCGGCCAUUUACUAUUUUUAUGCGUCUAAUUAGAAGUAUGAAAAGAGAUAUGUACCAUGACAGAUUUUUAUCAAAAUUUUAACAUAUUAAUUACUGCAACUUUUUCAACGAUCGAAUAUGCACGGAGCCACAACGUUAAAUUACUCAUUUGAUGAUAUAUUCACACUAAAAAAGAAUGACUGGCUUGGGAUGUUAUUCAGAAAUAGAGUGCAAUUUAGGUAAGUAUAAUUGUAAAAUCUAAAAUUUUUGUUGUCAUUCGUGAUUUAUGAAAUUUUUUUCUAAAAAGCUCCCAAUAAAUGAAAAUGGUUACUACUAUUAUACCUUCAGUCACACCUCACAUUUCCAAAAUAUUGUCAUUAAACACUUUGCAGAUAAUUAAUUGAUGUAUUUGAAUCACCACUUUUAUUCUUUUCAAGUACAUAAUGAAUACAAAAUUUUGCUAGUGAUAUUCUCAAUCUCAAAUAAACAUCCUCUUUUAAUGUAAUCUCAAAUUAAUUCAACUCUAUCGUCUAUAACCAAAUCUCAAAAGAAUUCAGUUCUUGUUUAAAUUGAAGGCCUCAUUUUACAAAUGAGUUUUUUUAGCGUUUGUUUAAAAUUUUAAUGUAGUAUUGUAGGAAAAAUUUUUAAAGUGUAUAAAAUUUUAGAUAUGUUGAAGUGUAUAGUUUAAAAAAUUUAAGAAGUUUUUUGAGGUUAUUGUAGUUAAACCUUUUAAAAAAUUUGUAGAAAUCAAAAUUGACCAAAAUCUUGUUUGCCAAACGAGGCCAAACACGCCCGUAGGCCUCGUUUGUCAAAUGAUUUUUUUUGAUAUUUAUCUAAAAUUUGACUGUAACUUCAUUAGAAGUUAUAGAAAAAAUUUUUGAAAUGUAAUUUUUUGAAUAUUUUGAAGUGUAUAGUUUAAAAACAUUGAAAAGUUUUUUGAGGUUAGUAAUAUUUAAAGUUUUAAAAAAUUUGUAAAAGACAAAUUUGGCAGAAAACUUAUUUGCCAAACAGACUCGUAAUUUUCUAAAGAAAAACUUUUAUAUUUUUCAUAUAUAUAUAUUUUAAUUAAUUUUUACUUCACCCAUAUCAAAUCAAAUUGAUACAAUAUAUAAUUUUUUUAAAUAAAAAUUAUAAAAAAUAAUCUAGACUAGACCUUGUAAUAUUCACGUUCUAUUCAGUAUCGGGUAGCAACCCGUGAGUCUCGUUAUUACUAGGGAUGGUAAUAGGGAUGGGUGCCCGCGGGUGCCCGCCCCGCGGGGGCUCACGGGGCGGGGGCGGGGUAUACUCCCCCGCCCCAUCCCCGCCCCGCCACCCGCAAAAAAAAAAAAAUAUAUAUAUAUAUAUAUAUAUAUAUAAAUGACUAUAUAUUAUAUGUAAGUUAAUUAGUUAUAAACUUAUGAUAAUGAUAUUAUUAAUUAGAUGUAUUAUAUAAUGUAUAUUAGUUUAUGUAAUAUAAUUGAUAUUAUCAAUUAUAUGAAUAAUUAUACAUGUCUACUAAUAUAAUUUAUUAAUUAGUUAUACUAAAUUUACUAAUACAUUUAUACUAAAUUUCUAAUUACACUUAAUAGAAUAACACUUUUUCUAAAAAAAAAGCACAAAACAAUGAUGAAUUAGUGAUUGCAUUUGUACUAAAAGUGAAAAUUUGACUAUUUUAGUUAUAUUUAUUUCAUCAUAUUGGAUUGUAUUCAAAUAACUUCUGUUUGAUUGUUUUUAUGAGUUUCAAUUGUAAAAUUACAAUGAAUAAUAAUUUGGUGAUGUGUUGAUAUUUUAGUACUUGAUUAUUUAUUAAAAUUUAAUUAUAAUAAAAUUUUAUUAAUCCCGCGAGUGCUCCGGGGCAAGACGGGGCUGGGGCGGGGCGGGGCGGGGGGAGCGGAGGCGGGGAACGGAGCGGGGGACGGGGGGAACUAAUAGGCAACGGGACGCGGGGACGGGGGAGGGGUCCCCGCCCCAACCCGCCCAGUUGCCAUCCCUAGUUAUUACCCAAUACCCAUACCCAUAUUCAAACGCCAAUGAUUAUCCAACCCCUCAACGUUCACUUUCCUCGGACUUCACUUCCCUCGUUCAAAUCCACUUCAUUCACUCCCCGAAAUUCCGCCUUCCCGCCUAGAAAUAUUUUCAAAUUCACAUUAAAAAACUCGCAGCAAAAGACAGGGAAGAAGAAGCCCUCCUUUUCAAAAACAAUACCCCAUUUCCUUCACCUUCUUCCUUACCCCCUCAAAAAACCCUUUCUACUCUUUCCCCAUUUUCCACAAAUCUCUUCCAUCGUUCUUGAACUAAUUCUUUCACCUCCGAAAUGGGGAAGAGGAAGGGUUCAUCGACGCCGGCAGCUUCGAGGGAGAAAUCUAGGGCUUCUUCUUCUUCUUCGGUAGAGAAGAAGUCGAAGCGACAAAGGAUGAAAGUUGAGUCGGUUCCGGCAAAUGUGGAUAGUGAUUUCAUGGAGGAGCCGGACGUGGUGGUUGUGUCGGAUGACAAUGAACGGGAGGAUGGAGGUGAGGUCGAGGAGAGAGCUCGCCUAUGUCGCCGGCUGAGAGGAAGACAAAAAGGCGCGUUCUUGCGGAAAAUGAGGAGGAAGGUGAUUUUCGGUUUCUUGGUGAGCCUGUUGCUGACAAGGAGGCUCGUUGUCGGUGGCCUCAUCGAUAUGCAGUCAAGCAAAAGGUCGGAAAUGUUUUGGUUUAUUGUAUAUAAUCGACAGCUAUGGAUUUGUACAUGUGUUUACCUGUGAAGAGUAGAUGAACUUAAUCUGAAAAGGGUAUCUUUUACGAUUCUUCACUUUUCGUUUUUUUUUCUGAGAGUAAGAUUUUAUUCUCCAUUUUUUGCGUAUUCUGAAAAAAUUAGGGCUUUUUUUUAAAGGGUUCUGGACAUUCUUUAUUGUGAUUAUAUUUGCAAGUACGUUGAAUGUGAAUAAAGUUUCAUGUCUUUCCUGAUACAAAGCUGGUUUUUGGCUGUUUUUGUAAGUAAUAAAGAACAAGGACUUUUGUUUUUUCCAAAGAAACAUUUGAGACGAUGUCAACUUUUUGGUCUUUUUAAUAUGAUACAAAUCAGUAGGAGCGCAAGCACAUGUAACCGAGAUUAUAGCAGAUAAAUUGAGGAAAAAGAUGCUGGAAAUAUUGUCGUUGUAGUAUGUCAGAUAUGGGAGCUAGUUUGGAGUAUUAAAAGGGUAUUGAUAGCUGGCCAGAUUAUCCUGAAUAAGCUCAAGUGUCUUUCAACAUGGACGCCCUGAAAACUAAUGUUAGCAGUUCCUUGGGCUUCUUCGCAAGUCUCUGUUUUAUUCUUAGAAUCUCACUGUUGAGGUUAACAUACGACCGUUCUAUGGACAUUGGGAUUGUAUUUCCUUCAGUUGUUUGCUAGUGUCAAAAGUUUUGUCUUUUGGAUCAUGCCAAGUUUGUCCAUUGGUCUUACGCUUUAAACUCGUUCUUUUGCUUUAAACUCGUUCUUUUAUCUUUCGGUGAAUCUAUAUGUUUUCCAUUCUGAGUCUAUCUCGUUUUGGGUGGAAAACUUUGGCUUUCGGAUAAUGCUUUGGUUUUAGUUACUUGUCACUAUAAAAUCUUUAUCUGGUUUAUUCGAAGUUUGAUAAUUAGUGUAUCCUUCUGCGAGUAUGGGUUUUAUAGACUUAAUGGGGGAUUACUCAUCUUGGCUAAGAUUAAUUUUGUCCACAACCUGCACGAACUCAAUGGGAACUUUUAGACGAGCAAAAAAUACUUUUCAAGUGGAUUCUGCGCAAACAAUUUUUCCAUUAGCUCCCUUUAGCAAAUAGGAGGCUGUAUGUUGUCAUUGUUUUAUCUUUCUGAUAAUUAGUAUCCUUUCUUUUAGUGAAUCUUUAUGAACUAAUAGUUAAAUAAAGGUAAUUGUUGUUCUUAAAAGAGCCUUAGUAUGAAAUACUUUUGGUUGGAUCUAAGUGUAGGAGAUACCCCAAUUAUGAACUAAAAAUGGUUUGGUUUUUUGUCAUUCAAACAAAACUUGUUCAUGUUAUCAGCUAUAAUCAUCAUGCUGAAUGUUGAUGUGCACAAAUUUAAUUUGAAUUUUUGGCUGAGUUAAUGAGCUAAUUGUUUUGGUUAUACAGAGGAAACAAAAUGCAGUUUUAAAAGACUCAAAAGGGUGAGUAUAUGGUUCUUGAUUAUUUAAUUUUCUCAUUCUAGUUCUACUUAUUAGAACUCUUUGCAUAUAAAUUGUUGUUCUUUAAUUGCUUGCAUUUUUUUUCUAUUCACUUGGAAAGUGAGGAUGACUCUGAAGAAUUUAUCGAUGCUAAAAGACACUUCACUCAAGCAGAAGUUGAUGGGCAGAUUUUUAACUUGGAAGAUGAUGCUUAUGUACAGGUACAGGAACUUUGCUUCCUUUUUCUAGUAAAUGGAAGAUUUUGCUAGUAUGACAUUUUGAGUGGGCUAGGUCUAGUCAUACCAAAUCAAAACCUAUCUAGUCUAGAGGUGACCUGCACAUAUCGUGUUUUCUGUCAAGGUUUUUAGCAUCUGUCAUGGGUGUGCAAUGAGCUUAAUGUAAGAUUCAUCUCUUGCUCCUGCAUUUGCUUUUUCCAGUGCUGUUAUGUAACAAGGAAAUAAUCUGUUCUCAGUAUAAAUAUGUAGUUGUUGUCAUAUCUUGAAACUCGAAUGCUAUGUGAUCUUUUUAACUUAUGAUUGUUAAGACUGAGUAAUGAUUUUGGAGAAGUAAAAGGAGGGUUUUAAGUUUGUUUACUUGGACUUAGAUGUCCAGCUUUUUUAAAUGGUCUCAGAUAUCAUAGACCAUGUAGUGUUCCAAAACUUAUGAGAUUUUGUGGAUGUGGCAUCGUUUCUAUUUCUUUUAACUGUCUGAAUUCUACGGGGUUCAUUAUCUUUCCAGAAAAUUUAAUGUGAAUUUCCUACCCAUAAAUAUCGUAACUUUUUUUGGGUGUCUUGUUAAUCUUGUUAUGUAUUGCAGGUGAUCCUUGUGGCUUAGCGUUUUUGCAUUGAAGAUUGUAUAAUCAAGGCCUAGAUAUUUUUUUCUUAUAAGUUGAUUCUAGUUUUUUCUUUCUUUCUUUUUUUGGGUUCAAUUUUCCCUUUGCUGAAAGCUGCUUUUAGAGGUUUUUGUUUUUAUCUGUGAAUUUAAAUUAUUUUAACCAUCAGAAAGCUAUUCGUGAGAAACAACUCUAGAGAUUUUUUCCACUGUACUUUUGCUUUCGAAAUUGAGACAAAAAUACCUUUUCAGGAUUUAAACAGCUUGGAGUGUCAUUUUUUGGUUAUAAUCUUUUGAAAUGUGCCAUUUAUGGAGUAUAACAGGCUAAUACCAAAAUAGGAGGAAAUUUUAAAGAGAAAAUAAAUCUUAUAUUGUUGAGAGUUGCCUUCUUUGACAACUUUGUUAGCCUGGAUUUCAUUGUCUUGGUUUUGCCGGUAUUUUGAAUCACAUGUAUCCAAAUCUGGUUCAGAAAGUUGUUUAAUUCUUGCCUAAUUAACAUGCUGUCACAAGGCUGAAGUAGGCAAAAGAAAUUACAUCUGCAAAAUAGUGGAGAUGUUUGAGGGAACUGAUGGCAUGCCGUAUUUCACUGCUCAGUGGUUUUACAGGGCCGAGGAUACUGUAAGGCUUGACAAUCAUUCCUUUAAAUAUCUGUAUUUUCAAUUUCCAUUUUCUGAAUUAUACUGCCACUUCCUGUGGUCAGAUCAUUACAGAAUGUCAUGAAUUUAUAGACGAAAAGCGAGUAUUCUUUUCUGAAGUCAAGAAUGACAAUCCUUUGGACUGUCUGGUUAAGAGACUUAGGAUCGCCCGGCUGCCGCCAAAUGUAUGCUGACUUACCUAAGAAACGUCUUUUCAACUUUGAGCUUCUGUAAACCUUUUUAACAGGACCGGCUGCUAUUUCAGAUGGAUUUGGAAUGCAAGGAUGCUGCAAAAUCAAAUUGUGACUAUUAUUAUGACAUGAUGUUCUUAGAGCCUCACUGCACGUUUAUCAGCUUGCCGCCUGGUAACUUUUUUCCUUUAUAUAUUGUCAGCAACAAAUUACUCUUUCUUUUUUCACAAACUUUAUAGUGUAAAGUUUUGGAUGAUAUUUAUAUUGUCCAGAGAAUAAUGGAGCUGGAAGUGACUCUGGCUCUACAAUAUCGAGUGAAGCUGAUGCUACUGGAGCAGUGGCUAGUGGUGUAGAGGUCUCCCAAGAAGCAAACCACUUGGAGAUGAGGCUACUGGACCUGUAUUCAGGCUGUGGGGCAAUGUCCACUGGACUUUGCCUGGGAGCUUAUAGCACUGGUGUUAAACUUGUUACCGUAAGGACAAUAAGUUUUCUUGAACUUCUUUCUAGUUGUUAUGUCGUUCUUUACCAUUAAAAUAACUUCUCAAUGCAGAAAUGGGCAGUUGAUGUAAACAAGUAUGCAUGUGAAAGUCUAAAAUGGAACCAUCCGGAGACUGAGGUGUAUAUUGCUCCAUAUGGUUUUGUAUCCAUUAUUUCUAUAUUUAUAACCUUGUUCAGGAUACAUUUUUCUUCUUGAUAAUUUCUUUUUGAUUAAGGUACGAAAUGAAUCUGCCGAGAACUUUUUGCUUUUGAUUAAGGAGUGGGAGAGGCUUUGUGUCUCCUAUGCAUUAGUAGAAAGCAAUGUUCUACCACAUCCGUAUGUUAGCUCGUCAAAUGAGCAAGUAGAUGAAGUUGGUGGAGAUGAUGAAGAUGACGAUGUUGAUGAUAGUGAUGGUAAUAGUUCUGAAGUUUUUGAUGUCAAAGAGGUAUUGGCUAUGUGCUAUGGGGAUCCAAAAGAGAGUGGUGCUGUUGGUCUUUACUGUAAGGUAUACUUGUUGGAUUAUCAGUGUACCUUUAUAUCUCUAUCUUGCCUUUUUAAACAUUUUCAAUUAGCUUUGGCUUGUAGUAAUGUCUCUAAAAUGCAAUUUAGAUUCGCUGGAAAGGUUAUGGACCAGAUGAUGAUACAUGGGAGCCUAUAGACGGUUUAAGGUAGGCAUUAAGUCUGGUUUGCUUAGUGAUUUCUUGAUGUUAUUUGUUUCCUUGAAACAAUCACUGACCUUCUAUACGUGUUUCUUAGUGAUUGUCAAGAGAAGGUGAAGGAAUUCGUCACUAAAGGUUACAAAAGAAAGAUUUUGCCUUUGCCUGUAAGUUCAAACAUCUUCCAAAGAGAUGUGAAGUAUACUGGACUACUGCAGAUUAUGUUAUCUAAUUUGUUGGUUUCUUGAUGUCUUGCAGGGAAAUGUCGAUGUUAUAUGUGGGGGCCCUCCUUGCCAAGGAAUAAGUGGGUUUAACCGAUUUCGGAAUACAGACCAACCAUUACAAGAUGAAAAAAAUAAGCAGCUUGCCGUCUUCAUGGAUAUUGUGGCUUUUCUAAAGCCUAGAUUUGUGUUGAUGGAAAAUGUUGUUGAUUUGAUUAAGUUUUCCAAAGGGUAUCUUGGGAGGUAUGCUUUUGCUCGGCUUCUUGCUAUGAACUAUCAAGCACGACUUGGAAUGAUGGCUGCUGGUGCUUAUGGUCUCCCACAGUUUAGAAUGCGUGUCUUUAUGUGGGGUGCUGUUCCUAAAGAGGUGAUACUCAGUUUUUCUUUUUCUUAUUUAUUUAUUCAGGUUUCAAGGCGUCUUUCUCUCUCAUUAGCAGUACUUACUCUUCUAUUAAUGCAGAAGUUGCCUCAGUACCCAUUGCCUACCCAUGAUGUCGUUGUGAGAGGGGUUGUUCCCAAGGAAUUUGAGGUAGGCUAUGGAUGGUAGAAAAAUAUUAUACAAUUUGAUUUUUGCUUCUUUAUUAGCCUAAAUCUUCUGUGUCAAUGUAGUCCAAUACUGUAGCUUAUGAAGAAGGUUCAAAAGUUGAAUUGGAGAAGGAGCUUUUUCUUGAAGAUGCUAUUUCUGAUCUUCCACCGGUAUAUAUUGCCAAUACUAAGCUUUUUUAAUUAAUGUAUGCCUCUAAUGUUCCUUAUAUGCUUAAAACUCUCUCUUGCAAACUUAACAUUUAGGUUGAAAAUGACGAGCCACGAGAUGAAAUGCCAUAUGGUGGUGCGUCCAAGACUGAAUUUCAAAACUUCAUCAGAUUGAGGAAAGAUGGUAAGUUCAUAUUUCUUUAUUUCUCCUUGAAGUACUUCUGGAUUUAUAAUUUUCAAUGCCUUAUUUUAAACUUGGAAUUCUUGCUUGUCUUGGUGAGCAUGGUAACGUGAUUCUAAUGGAUGCUAAAAAAUUUAUCCAACAUUUUUGAUCCAGAGCAAACAAUACACGUUUGCUGGUGCUUAAAAGUUUCCAGCUAUAUUUGUCAUUCAUUGUUUAUGUUGUGAAAAAAGUUGGUUUACCAACUAAGCAUCGAACUAUUUACAUUCUUAAAUCUGGAAUGUAAUACUUAAAUCCAUGAAACUAAAAGUACUUUGUUUUAUAGGUUUCCUUUUUCUAUGGCUUUUAGCUUGUCUUAAUUGAGCACAAUGGAUUACGUUCUGAUACAGGUUCUCUGCGUAGUUUGAGUUUGAAAAGUUAUUGAAUGUCGUCUUUCACAUUUUUUUCUUUCUGAUGCAGAAAUGCCAGGUAGUCUAGGCUUUGGAUUAGAAGUAGCUCCACAUUUGCUGUAUGACCAUAGGCCGCUCCAACUAAAUAGGGAUGAUUAUAGUCGGGUGUGUCAGAUUCCCAAGAAGAAGGUAUAUUUUAGUUCGUUAGUCUUUUUCAUUUUUAUGUUUUUUUUCCUGUCAAAGGACCUUCUCAUGUAUUUAUGCUUUUCAGGAGCUUUGUUAUGUAAAUUGUCAAUUGAAUACUACCUGCUUCUGAACUAUUUGUACCAUGGUUGCUAGGGUGCAAACUUUAGAGAUUUGCCUGGUGUAAGAGUCCGUGCUGAUAACAAGGUGGAAUGGGAUCCAGAUAUAGAGCGUGUCUAUCUGCCCUCAGGAAACCUUUGGUACGACUUCUUGAAUUCUAUAUUAUGCAGAUCAGCAUGUAUUUGUUUAUUUCUUCAUUGAUAAUCCUUACCCAGUGAGUUGCUUGUGCAGGUACCUGAUUAUGCUAUGACUUUUGUUGGUGGAUCUUCAUGCAAGUAAUCUUCAUUUCUCUCUAUGUUCUCAAAUUGCUUGUUUGAUGAAUUUUUUUGUUUUGGCUUUUCACACAACUAUUUUCAUGCCAUUUAGGCCUUUGGACGAUUGUGGUGGAAUGAGACAGUACCUACAGUUGUCACACGAGCAGAACCUCACAAUCAGGUACUGUUGUUGUCACUUUCUAAUUUAAUUGAAUAUUCUGGUUUGCUGUUUUAUACUUCACUGAAUGAAUCUUCUUUGGACUUUGUCAGACCAUAUUGCAUCCAAAGCAAGACAGAGUCCUUACAAUCCGAGAGAACGCGACUCCAAGGAUUUCCUGAUUAUUACAAACUUUUUGGCCCCAUUAAAGAGGUAAAAGCUGAGGAACAAUUAUGUUUCUGACAUAUUUAGGCAUUCUAUAGAGUACGCUAAUAUGAUCCUCAGGUUCUCUCAAUCCUUGUUACACCUCGAAUAAAACAAACUACUCUUGGCCUCAUACUUAGUCUUUUUCCAUUAGUUAGAAUUUGUAGAUAUAUGUUGAAACGAGGAAAAAAAAUUGCAGUAGCAGUGGGUUUGUCCUGUCAGAGUGAAAGAAAAUUAGACCCAAAAAGUUUUUCCCUUUCACCUGUUCUCAUAAUGACAGUGAGGAUUUAGGACAUGUUGCUGACGAAUAUGGCAAUGCAUGGGUUGUGUGAUAAAAUGGUGAAGAGGUUGUAGAACUCUUAAAAGCUUAAUUUUGAGAUGGAAGUGUUCAAUGUAUUGCAUCUAGAUUUCACUGUGAAAGUAAAAUAUCAACUCAACUAGACAGAGGCUUUUCAGUAUAUUUCACCUAGUUUCGCAAAAUCUGGGACCUUCUGCACUUCAGAUAAUCUGUGAGCCAAAUUCCAAAUGGCGUCUACUUAGUGUGCAGAGCACAAGUUACUCUUCUGGAACUGUUUCAGAAAGGCAGCUGGUUUUAGUUGUCUGUCAGCUUCUGUUUCUUCAUGAGUUUGGUCAUUGUCAAUAGGCCUGUGUUGCUCACAUGUUGAGAUGUUAUUUAUAUAGGCAAUUAGUUGCUGAUUUGCUUGACUGCAUCGUGAAAUUUGAUUUGCUUGACUGCAUCGUGAAAUUUGCUGAUUUGCUAUAUGUUGAAGAAAGCCAUGUUCAUUAUCCUGAAAUUUGAUUGGCUUAUUUGGUAAUCAACAAUAUUAUAAUACCUCCUAUGUGAACACGGAAUGGAUAUCUGUUUGCAAUUAUUAACACUCGAUGUUUAUGAUACUCCAGGUACAUUCAAGUUGGCAACGCAGUUGCUGUGCCAGUUGCUCGCGCUUUAGGAUUUUCUUUAGCUUUGGCUUUGAAGGGUUUGUCAGGCGACGAACCAGUACUGCAAUUACCAAAGAGCUUUCCAAAUAAUGUCGAGCUUCCUGCAGAAGUGUCUUCAUGAAGGAAGCCAAAUUUGUGUUUUUGUAACCCAUCCAACACAAAAUUACAUGCCAUUUAUUGGUCACAUUUAUUGUUAUUUGUCGGAAUUGUUCAUAAUUUGUAUCAUUUGAGUACCAUGUUACUAUUAUUUACUCCAUGAAACAGCAUGUGCUGAAAGUAGUACUGCUGAACUCUUGCUGAUCAACUGAUCCUCACACGUUGUGAUGUACGAGCUGAACGUGUUGAAAGAGAAGCAUUAUCGUGCGAAGCAAUGUUCUAGUUUCUAUAAUUUGAUCAUUGACAAGUGCGAAGACAGUCAUUCUGACUUGCCUUUCUUCAUAUAAUCUUAUUUUGAUGGAUGUGGUUGUAUUCGAGAAUGGAAGCAAAUUUGUUUAAAUUAUUUUGAUGGAUCUUUUAAUUUUGUAUCUUUAUUAAAUUUUAUGAUUUUUCAAUUUAAAUAUACUUGUGACAUGUUUAAUGUAUUUUAUGUCAUUAGUGCAAAUUAUUUUGUCAAGUAAAUCGUGCUGGACGAUUUCUAGUGAGAUGAUUAAUAAUAUUGUUAAUGUAUUAUCAAAAAAAAAAAAAAAAACUCAAGUCUUACCAAGCUACUCACUAUUAUUUGAUCGAAGGGUGAAGUGUCAAUAAGACAUGUUUCUAAGAUUUGUAGGGUUUUCUUAGAUUGACCAUUUUAAUUGAUUACAGAUUUUGAUUUUGAAUAAUCAACUUUUGUGAUAUUUUUUAUUACUUUUGUACAUUGAUUACAUAUUUUUUAAUGAUCAUUCGUUUGAAUUAUCUGUUUUUAAAAUAUUUACGAUAUACGAGAUUAUUUUUGAGGAUAUUUUUGAGAUUUUUAUGAUUGUUUUUGUUUGUAUAUUAUUGUAACAUAUAUAUAUGAAAAUUUAGUGACCAAUCCAAACGCAGAUUGUAACAGAUUACUCAAAGAAUAACCUUUGCUGAUUCUAAUUAUUCUUUAUAACAAUUUCUAUAAUCAAAUUUAUAUAAAGCAACCGAGAACAAGGUCGUAGUGGAGUUCAAGUGAAUUUAGUGACUUUGAAAUUGCAAUCUGGUAUUUGAAAGACACUCGUGAUGAUCUUUUGAAGAUUGAUCAUGGUUACCAACCCACCGUUAUUCCUUUCCCUCCUACAAAACUUUGAAGAAACACAAAAAUUCUACCCAGAAAUAAGCAAAUGAAAAACAGAAAGGUCAGCUACAAUAUGAGAUCACCAAAUACUAAAACUGUGAAACACUUGCCCUUUUUGUUUGGAUUAAAAUAUACUGAUGUGAAUUCAGAUCCACAUGAUAGUACUAAAGAAAAUAUGUGAAGUACCUCAUUUAGCAGCAAGAAGUUCAACAACAGGAUUUGCUAUUCAAAUCACCAACUGUUGCAUCAACUACAAAUACAUCUGAAUUAGUUUUAGGAAGCAAAUUUUUGGGAUUUUUUCAAUUUGUCGAUUGGAAAAGGGGCAACCGAAGAACAGCUUCCUCAGUCUCAAUAGGGUCCGAUCUCAAUAUCUGCAAAGAACCGGGUAAAAAAGAAAACCUGAAAUCAGUUUGAACGGUUCAAAUAAGAAGGAAAAAGAAAAGAAUCAAAAUUGACUUACUGGGUCUUUGAGAAUUGGCUUAGUGUCAUCGAGAGCAGGUCUAAAUUGGGUUUUUUCUGUCCUUCGUUUCAGUUCCGCCAUUGUUGCUCUUGCUCGAAGCCUCUGCUGCUGCUGCUUUCUUCAUUCUUUUCAGUUCUAGCUAAGUGGUGGGUUUAACUGGUAGGCGUUGGGCGUCCUUUCUAGUAUUAUGUAUAAGCGUGGCUUUUGUCUAGCUAGGUUGAGGGGAUCCAGUAUACAGAAAAGGGAAAGAAAAAAGAAGAAGAAGAACCUAAUAUAUAAUCAUUUGUCCUGAGUCCUGACUUACAAAAAAUAACCCUUUUCUUCUAACCCUCCCACUAUAGACACCCAGGCAUGUUAAUGGAUUGGUUUUUAUCCAAAUUUAAUUCAAAUCCAAUGUAUUUGGGUAGGGUUUGGAUUUAAUUUAUCAAAACCCUACUUAGACCUAAACCCUAUAAAAGAGUUAUGUAUUUGGAUAGAAUUUGAUUUUUUAUGAUUUAUAUCCAAAUCCAAACCCAUAACAGGCUUUACCAAACCCAUUAUAUAUAGUUAAAUAUAUAUAUUAGUAAAUUUAUAAAAUAUUCUAAUAUUCUAUGGUCAUUGGAUCGAAUACAGUAAGAUUUAAUGAAUUUUUUUUUUCAAGUUAAUCCUAGUUAUUUUUAAUUAGUACAAAUUUCAGAAAAAAGAAGAAAAAGUAAAUGCCAAAUAAAUGAAAGAUUGACGUAGAUACAGUUGAAGUUUUAAAAAUAAGUCGAAACUGUCGAUAAUAGUCACUUUUUGAGUUUAUAAUAUUGCAUUCAACUUCUUGAAUAUUAAUUUUAUUAUUUAAAAUAAAAAUUGGAUGAUGUUUAUAUUUUUGAAAUCUGCAUAUUUUUAAUAUAUUUUUACUUUAGUGUAUUAGAAAAUAUAUCGGUACCCAUUGAUACUCAAAUCUAGAAGGAUUGGAUUUGAAUUUUUUCAGGCCCAUAAGGCUUUGGGUCUGAAUUUAGGUCACUAAUUUAAUAAAUCUGGAUCUAAAUCAAAAGGAUCUAACCUAAACCUUACCCAUUGUAAUAUCUAGACACCUCUAGUAGAGCAUCCAAUGAAUGCCCAACAUUUGUUGUGUGAUUUUCAGUGGUAGCAUGGUUUUGCAUUUGAAAUUGCAUCCAUUCAACUCUCCUACCAUAAAUUCAGGCAUCUAUCUAAUUUGAAUUGUAAUAAGUUCAUUUGGAUAUCCACAUAGUUGAAUUAUUUUCCCCAUAAAAUGCAGCUCUCAAAGAUGAUCUUUUGAAAUUUGAAUUUUUGAAAUUUAUAUGAGAAUUUGCAAGAGAGACUGUGUUGAAAAAUUCAAUUCAAGAACCAUACUUUCUGGUGCUAAUCUGGGCAUGGUUUCAAUACUGCCAUUAUCCUAUGUUACUUGUUGACUAGUUGGAACAAAAGAUCCCGUAGAAUUUAGGUAGCUUUUUUCCCCCAACAGGUUGGUAGUUAAUUGUAUAAUAAAAUUUAUGUGUAGGUUGAUCCCUCUCACACAAGCUAGAUAUUGAAGAUUAAGAAAUUGUUUGUGGCUCCUGUAUAUAUGUUCCACAAAAAGAAGUUCAAACUGAAACAGUAAGCAUAGUGAACCUUUUGAGGCUAUGUCUUCAAGGGCUCAAUAUGAAGUCUGACAGUUGACCUGUCUGAUGAUCUCAUAGCUCUUAAAUGACUCUGCAAAUCUGCAUCUCUGGAUAGACAAAUCCAAUUGUUAUUGACAUCUUGAUACUUGAUCUCAUAACUUUCACCACUCAGGUUGAGCCGUUUCUUUAUCGCAUCUCUGAGUUGCAUCAGUCCUGAUGAAAGAGAGAGCUGAAACUUUAUCAUGACUUCUUUGUAUGUUGCCUUUAUUGUCAUGAGGCUUUCAUUUUGCAUUGUCAUAGCUUGUGGCAUAGGAGGUGAAGCAGAAGUAGCAACUUCCUCAGGAAUCUGAUUGGUGCAUGGCUCAACAGCAAGUCUGAUUGUUGGGUUUUCCUGUGGUUUCAUGAUAGUCACACAAUUAUGCAAAUCAUUGUCGCUGGUCAAUGGAAUCCAUUCAUUGGGUUCAGCUAGACACUUGAUGUCAAAGCUGUCACCGCUUAACUUGAACUGCUUCAUGACUUCGUUUUUCAGUUCCAUCAAUUUUGAAGAAAGGGAAACCUGAAGCUCUACAGUCUCCUCUUUAUAUGUUGCCUUUAUGGUCAUGAUCCUCUCAUUCUGCACUGGAUUUAUCUGCAGCAUAGGCUCCCAACAGAAUCCCUGGAACUUUCAAGGUGUUGAUUCUGAGUAGGCUCAAGAAGAACUUUGAUUGUAUUCUUCCUUUGUGACACCAUAUCAAACAUCAACUUCUGCAAGUCCACAUCAUUGGAUACUAAAAUGUAGUUAUUAUCUUCCUUUUGAUACUUGAUCUCAAAACUUCCAGUUGUCAAAUUUAACCUCUUUGUCACUUCUUUCUCAAAAUCCAUUAUCCCUGAAGAGAGAGAGAGUGGAAACUUAAUCAUGUCUUCCUUAAAUGAUGCCUUUAUCAUAAUUGUGCCUUCAUUUUCUGGUGCUGGUGGUGCCUUUAUACUCUCAUUGUGCACUGGAUUUAUCUGCAGCAUAGGGCUACCAACAGAACCCCUGGAACUUUCAAGGUGUUGAUUCUGAGUAGGCUCAAGAAGAACUUUGAUUGUAUUCUUCCUUUGUGACAUCAUAUCAAACAUCAACUUCUGCAAGUCCACAUCAUUGGAUACUAAAAUGCAGUUAUUAUCUUCCUUUUGAUACUUGAUCUCAAAACUUCCAGUUGUCAAAUUUAACCUCUUUGUCACUUCUUUCUCAAAAUCCAUUAUCCCUGAUGAGAGAGAGAGUGGAAACUUAAUCAUGUCUUCCUAAAUGCUGCCUUUAUCAUAAUUGUCCUUCAUUUUCUGGUGCCGGUGGUGCCUUUAUACUCUCAUUCUGCACUGGAUUUAUCUGCAGCAUAGGGCUCCCAACAGAAUCCCUGGAACUUCCAAGGUGUUGAUUCUGAGUAGGCUCAAGAAGAACUUUGAUUGUAUUCUUCCUUUGUGACAUCAUAUCAAACAUCAACUUCUGCAAGUCCACAUCAUUGGAUACUAAAAUGUAGUUAUUAUCUUCAUUUUGAUACUUGAUCUCAAAACUUCCAGUUGUCAAAUUUAACCUCUUUGUCACUUCUUUCUCAAAAUCCAUUAUCCCUGAUGAGAGAGAGAGUGGAACUUAAUCAUGUCUUCCUUAAAUGAUGCCUUUAUCAUAAUUGUGCCUUCUUCUGGUGCUGGUGGUGCCUUUAUACUCUCGUUCUGCACUGGAUUUAUCUGCAGCAUAGGGCUACCAACAGAACCCCUGGAAAUUUCAAGGUGUUGAUUCUCAGUAGGCUCAAGAAGAACUUUGACUGUAUUCUUCCUUUUUGACAUCAUAUCAAACAUCAACUUCUGCAAGUCCACAUCAUUGGAUACUAAAAUGUAGUUAUUAUCUUCAUUUUGAUACUUGAUCAAAAAACUUCCAGUUGUCAAAUUUAACCUCUUUGUCACUUCUUUCUCAAAAUCCAUCAUCCCUGAUGAGAGAGAGAGUGGAAACUUAAUCAUGCCUUCCUUAAAUGCUGCCUUUAUCAUAAUUGUGCCUUCAUUUUCUGGUGCUGGUGCUGCAGGGUGAGAAACAGAAGUAGUGCCUUCGUCAGGAGGUAAAUCAGAACGUGCUUGGUCUCUAUUACGUGUUCUCUUAUUGUGGUUUUCAGAUCCUCUUGCAUCUUCGUGAGAAAGGGAAUGAUCAGCUUUUCUCUUGUUGGUCUGUCUAUCUAUGCUACGCUCUCUGCAUAACUGCUUUUCUUCAUGUAUGACAACUGUAAAAAUGAGAAUUUGAAUCAAGAUUAAUACCAGGUGAUCUUGUCAGCCAUAUAAGCAAAUGAACAAUGCAGUCAUACUGAAAGCUAGGUUCAAAUUCAAGAUAGCAAACUCACUAUCAGACAUACACUCAGCAUCUUCAAGUUGCCUUCUUGACUGGUUUCUGGGAACCUUCACUCCUGGUGCCUUUACCAUGUCUUCAUUAUUUUGAAGAACAGGAAGAUUGUCCUGUGUUCGUACAUUCUCACAGUUGUUAUGUGAGAAUCUAAGCAAAGGUUGAGAUCCGGUUGUUGCACACAUUUCCAAAGAUUCAUCCAGUCUAUCAAGUUUAAUUAUGUUCAAAGGUGUAUCCGCCCCUGAUUCUUGUACAGAUGCAACCUUGAAACUCUGAAAGUUCUGCUGUACUGCAGCUAAAAAAGCUUUCAAGAGGGUCUGUGGUUUCCCAUAAGAAGGUUGGUACGGGCACAGAAAAAACUCUAGCACAUAAACUUCAUUUCCUGUGGAUCUACUUUGCAGACAGACAGCAAAAGAGCCAGUUAAGUUAACUUUGCGUGCACUAAGUACUAGGGGGUACUCAUCAAUACUUAACUGCUUCACAUCUUUGCAGAAGCAUGAAGCACCAGAUGUAAAUGCACUCCAUACAACACUCUGUCCUUUCUUUAAGCCAAACUGAAUGCAAUCCUUUUGGAAGGAGGAAACCUUCUUGACUGACAUAACUGAUCCCCUUUCACUUGUGCACAUGACACUUUCAUUAUGGUUCUCUCCAGUGCUUGUGAACCAGGUCUGAGCAAAACGUAUACAGUGUGCAUGACAGAAUGCAUUCAAACCGUUCUCAAUUUGACUGAGGUCAAAUUCAUGCUGAGAAAUCUGCUUUGGACAUUAUCAGUAAGAAAAGGAAUCAUACAGUACGAAAAGCGAGUCAGCAAUAAAAUAACUUAACUGAUACAUGUGAAAAAAAUGUGGCUAGAUACAGUCACCACUUACUCUAUCCUUGUGAAGUGACAAAUGUGCAUCACAAAUCCUCAGUCCUACGGCCUGCAGGAAAGAAUAUAACUAUCACUAUACAUUUUUGAGAUCAUCAUAGUGAAAUGAUUUCAGAAAUUGGAAUGAAAUUUUCUAUUAAGACUUGUAGCAUGCAAUGCAGGUAAACAUGACAGCUUUAUGACCGGAUUCGACUAUACAAGAACCCAACAAGAACAAAAGAAGUCCUGAAAUUAUACGAACAUCGCUUACAUCAGUACUAACACAGAAUCCUAUCUGAUGGAUGUGAAGCUGAAACCCCUUUGCUAUUUAAGGGGGAUCUUCACUAAAGGGGGAUCUUCACAGGAUCAUCAUGCCAGCUAUACAGCAUGGUAAUUGAAACAUAAACAAGUCAAAUAGAAAGUUCUUGUCCUUCACAUGAAAAUUUUUCCAACGCCAUGAGUUACAGCUCAGACUUCAUGGGACCAAACGUUGAAAAGGUUUCCACAUCAUAGAUCAUAGCUUAGACAUGAAUGAGUAAUUGUUCUAGUGCGAAAGCAAGAAUUCAUAAUAACUUUCACUAUCAUAGAGUUCAGCAGAAGCUAUGCCACUUCAAAUAUCCUCCACUUCAAGCCAGAGAUGUCAAUUAUGCAUAAAAUAGAUAGCUUCAGCUCAGAAAAACUCCAAUUAUUUGAAGACAGCUGACAUUUCAGGAAAUGUGUUAGCCAAGUUCUACAGCUAAUGUAUCUGAAAAUGACUCUGUAGCACAAGAAGCACAGAUUACUUCAACUGACAGAACUUUUGCAAUCUUUUUGGCUUCCUGAUUUCAUCCAGCGAUAUGAGAAUCUUGCUAAGACAAUUUUUUAGGGCAUGAAAGUAAUGGAAUUUGAUGCCAACCUUUGUAAAAGCUCAAUUAGCUGAUUCUUUUGAAUAAACAUAUCAUUUGCUGGCAGAGAACAAAAGAAGAAAUGAUCUUCGCGUCACUUCCAAUUUCUAAAGAACAAGGAGUUACAAAACAGAAAAAGCUCAAAAGAGAAGCUUGUUCCCCUUGCAUCCAAGACCAAAGCAUUUACAACAAGAAAAAUUAGCAGGUUUUUUGGGCAAAAUUUACAAUAGAAGCACAAUUUCCAUAUGGAGAGGCGAAUUAAACAUGCUAGUACUUUAUCCUUGGUGAAUAAUGGGUUGAGUUAGAAAUCGAACCUUGAAAGCAUCAUCAAUAACUUUUCCAAUUGCAUCAGUAAAGUAAUAAUUCCCAUCCCACGAAGUAAUCAGCUCAAGCACACCGACACAUUGAUCCCUAACUGACUCAAAAACUGGCAAAGCCAGGUAUCCAUUUACACCACAUCUAACAGCAGCAUCCCUCAGUUUAAACUCUUUAGAUGAGUAACAAGACACAUAUGGACUAAAUUCUGAAACCCCAUUUCUAAAAACCCGUCCAACAGGGCCAAGCUCUUCUUGACAAUCAAGAUCAUAUCUGUGUUCCAAACAACGCUUCCUAUACAAACAGAGUCCUUCGGUGAGCAGACUAAUACCAAAAGGAAGAUCUGAAGUCACAAGAAGCUGUUGGGUGCCUAUUGUUUUGGGCAUCCACAGUUGCACUAAAGUGGGAAGAGAAAAACACCCAAACCCUCAAGUGCAGAUUUGAUCUUUUCUUUGAUUGCCGCAAUCCCUUUGUUGUUGUUGAAUUGAAUAGAUUCAUCUUGGCUACAGAAGAUCAUAAGAUGGGAGAUGGACUUCUGGUCUGAUACAGAAAGUUGACUUGGCAUGAGACUGAUGAACUCAGAAACUGAAUAUCUUCCUCUAAGAUCAUCAACAUGGAUGAGUAAAGACUGGUUUUUUUCCAUCUUUGAUACUAUCUGGGAUUGCAUUUCCUAGCUUCAAGAAUUGUUCUUCAAAGCCCCUCUUUUAGCCAAUUCAAAGACUCGAAUAAGGGUUGUUGGCUAUGCAAUAAUCCAUAGAAGAAGGAUUCCAAAAGAGGUUCAAGAGCUCAUCCAUCUUGUAGCUUCUGCCUUCUGUGUAUAUGCAUCGUCGAAUGCAAAGAGUUCAGAUUUCAGAAUGGUUCAGGAGGUCAAAGUUCAGAAAGACAAAAGCAGACAAUGACCCCACGAGUCUAUGACAAUGACUGGUUUGUGGCCUACAUUUUCCCAAGGUGCAAACGACAAAUCCAUAUCACCAAACUCUAGUCACUGCGAGCUGUGGAAUACUGGAAGUGGAAAAAGUCUGAAAUAGGUCACAGUUCCACAACUUUUCGAAAGAAAAUCUGACACGUCCUGCGCUGGAUAAAGUAUACGCCUCCAUCCCCAAAAUUUUGCUUAAAAGAAUUUUCACGCGAUUCAAUUCAGUACGAGAAGAAUCAAACGCUCGGCCUCUUUUGAGAGCCUUCAGAAUUUCUUAUUAGGGAUAAUUUCAGAAAAGCUUAUGUGAAAUUUAAAAAAUUACACAUUCCUCCUUUAUUAUUUAAAAUAAUAAUAUUAUUUUUAAAUAUUUUAAUAAAAUUCUCUUGUUUGAUAUAUUUAUAUUUAGAAUGCCUUUAAAAUUAUUUUUUUUCAUUCUUUUUCCUUUUUAUUUUAAUUUUUGUCAAUAAAAUUGUAAAAUUAUCAUUAUUAUCUCUGAUUUCUAUUGUAACAAAUGUCGAACUAAUGAUUUUUUUGAUGAGUUAACUUUAUAUAUAAUCCAAUGUUUUUUGCUAAUAUUUGAUUUCUAUUUUUUAGUAUUAAAAUUAAUAAUAAAUCAACAAGAAAUUGCCCAAAAUUAUUACUAAAUUAUGAUAAUUUCACUGCUCAAAAAAUUCAUAAACUCUAAAUCAAUUAUUUCAACAUUUAUUGUCUAUCUUAUAAAUCUAAAUCUAUAAUAAAAUACCAUCAAAAGUAUCCUAUCAUAGUGAUAAAUUUAUUAUUGCAGUUGUUUAUCAAAUAAUAGAUAUGGAGAUGAAAAAUUCGGCACAUUUUUCUUAUAAUUACAUUAGAUAAUCUUAUAAUUUUAUAAGAAAGUAAAUUAAAACUCAUUACACAAGGCAUUUUGGGUAUUCAUUAAAAAUUUGACCAAGUCAAUAUUAUUUUAAGAUUUUGUUACUAAAAUUAUCAAAUCAAGAGAGGUAUAUAUAAUUUUUCAAAUCUUAGGAGAGUUUAGUGAAAUUGUUAGAAACCUCAGGGAAUGUUUCUGGAAUUAUCCCUUCUUAUUAUUAUACUUAUGUUUAGUGCUUCUAAUUAAGGGCUUAAAUUAAUCAUACUAAAUGAUUUGGAUUCACAAGUAGUUUGGUUAAGGGCUUGAUUCGAACUCAAUAUCGAUCGAGUUGCCGAGUUUAAGUCAAAUUCGAGCUACUUGAUAAAGUAAUCAAGUUGAGUUUUAAUUAGGGGUACAAAUUAACCAUGCUACUUGAUUCAGACUCGCGAGUACUUUGGUUAAAGAUUCAAGUCGAACUUGGCAUCGAUUGAGUUGCCAAGUUCGAGUUGAGUUUGAACUACUUGAUAAGGUAAUCGAGUCGAUUUCGGGUGAAAAAAAAAUCAAAAUUCGAGUAUUUGUCAAGCGUCUCGAGUAGUGUAUUUACAAUAUAGUUUUUAAUUAUUUAUUUUAAAAUUAUGAAAUUUACUAAAAACUGAUCUUAAAAACUCAAUUGAACUUGAUUGAGUUCAAUUAAACUUGAUUUGGUCGAGUUCAAACUCAAUUUUAAAGCACUCAACAAUUUUAAAUUCGAGUUCAAGUAUUUUUAUUAGUAGAACUCGAAUGACUCGAUACUUGACUCGACUCGAUGACAGUCUUACUUCAGACCCGAUCGUUGGCUACUGGCAUCGAUUUUGCCAAGCAUAUGAAGUUUCACACAAAAUAGUGAUCACAGAUUACACCAAAUUCAGGCUCCAAUUCGUUAAAUUUACAUGUCAUGUCAUGUGUCCCCUUCUGACAGAGUAUGCGGUAAUUUGGAAACCGCAGGGACAAAUGCCACAUGUUUACUGCAUAGUAUAAUGAUAUCCAAAAUCAGUCAAAAUUGGUCCUCAUCAAGAACGGCAAAAGAAAAACAAAAUCGGUGUAAAGUCUGAUGAUUUCCCGCCAGAUUGAGACCCUGUUACAACGGUCAAAAACCACUAGUCAUCUUCUUCAACUGCAAUCUCUCAGCAUCAAAACAGCUCUAGAUCAUCAAGAACACUUCCUUUCUAGACUUAUACUUGCAUCGUCUUUAAUAUCACUGCAAAUUUCAAGAGAAAUCUUUGACAAAUCACCGAUUACACCAUCACGUUUUUCUCGGAAUACACUGAUUCAAGGGUAUUCAAAGAGCUCAAUACCAUUAGAGUCGGUAAAAAUGUUCGUUGAUCUUCAAAGAAGUGGGAUAAAACCCGACAACUAUACAUACCCUUUUGUGCUCAAAGCUUGCGGGCGUUGUUCAAUUGGUUGGAGUAGGUGGGACUCUGCAUUCAAUGGUGUUGAAGAUGGUUUUGAUUGGGAUUUACAUAUAUGCAAUACACUGCUCAGAAUGUAUGGAGGGCUUCAUCUGAUUGCGUAUUCGAGCAAGUGUUUGACGAUAUGUCUCAAAGAGAUGUGGUUUCUUGGAGUUCUAUGAUUGCUGCUUAUGUUAAUUGGUACGUUCUAUCCUUAAUCAGUUACCGAAGUAAUGCUAAUUCUUUUGUUUUAUUUCCUUCUUACUUGUCUCAGCAAUUAGGGGUUCGUAAUUUAUCUUCGAAACACCUAACUUCCUUUGCAAUGAGUCGUAGUGGGGUUGUUCAUGGUAGAAAGCCCAACUACGGAGUGUACUUUGUUUAGAGAAGGGAAGGAGAAAAUCAGUUGGAGUAUGGGAGUCAGACUUCUUAGUCGACUCCUAUGUUUUUGGACGUCCAUUAAUAUUAUUAAUAUUUUUUUGGCUUCCAGCAACAAAGGCUAUUAUAAUGCAUAAGUAUCAUGCUGCACAAAUUCCAUUGAAAGAUAAUGACUUGUGCAUAGAUCGUAUAUAAUCCAAUUGAUCUUGUGGUACUUUGCUUAUGCUCUUCAUUUUUCUUUUGCUUUUACUUUCUGCUAAUUCUGGCCAGGGGAUAUGGUUUAACUCCCUAAACAACUUGUUCAAGCUCUAUUAGUCACAACAUGCUUUAAUCACAGAGUCAUAUACAACUUAUUGCAUUUUAAUUACUGGACUCCCGAAAACAUUAUAUUAUAAUAUUUAAUUAUCAAGAAUUAAGAUGAAGGUUUUGGUAUAUGGUAGCAAAAGGCAAUAAAAAUUAAUCUACUUUUCCAAAAUGAAUGAGUCUCAAUCUUGUUAACUGCAGCAUAUUCUUAAUGUUUAUAAUAUAAGGUGCCUAAAAUUUAUACUCUUUAUGGGCACUGCUUCUUCAAUUCAUUAGCUACUAUUUUCUAGGUUUUAGGUGCCUUAUAGCUUGUAUGGAUGUAGAUACGAUCACUGUAAAAAAAUUUCUUCCGCACUGUUUACAGCUGACCUUGUUUACAAGUUAGCUUGAUCGAUUAAGUGCUAGACACCCUUGAGAACUUGUUAUAUGGGGACUUAUGGCCGUCGUCUUGUGAAAUUGUGCUGAUUGUUGCGUCUCAAAAUGAAAAUUGAAGUAGUGGAAUGGUAUCUGAUGAUUUUAUUGUCGGCUAAGGGGAUUAUCUUUUACUUCCUUUGUAUUCUUUAGCAUGUAGUUAAGGCUCUCUGUUUCCAAUAUUUUAACAUUUUAUAGUCUUGAAGUUUUUGUUUGACCUAUAACUUGACUUUGAAUGAUUACAGUAACUGUCCUGUAAAUGCUUUAACUGUUUUCCAAGACAUGAUCAUACAACAUGAGAAGCCAAACUCCAUCACUUUGGUUAGCCUGCUUGCUGCAUGUACUCGUCUCCUCAAUGUCAAGCUUGGAGAAUCCAUUCAUUCCCGCAUUCUAACUAACGUGUUGGAUUGAAUGUUGAACUGGGAACUGCUCUUCUUGAGAUGUAUGCAAAAUGUGGUCACAUGCUGGAAGCGUUCCUUAUUUUUGAUUCAAUAAGUGAUAAAAAUUUGCAGUCUUGGACUGUCAUGAUUUCUAGCCUUGCAGAUAAUGGCUUUGGGGAAGAAGCUAUGUCAUUGUUUUCAAAAAUGCAAGAAGCUGGCCUGCAGCCUGAUAGUAAGUCAUUUUCUGCAGUUCUUUCUGCAUGUAGUCACAUGGGUCUUGUUGAUGAGGGAAAAGAUUAUUUUGAUAAAAUGGUAAAGGUUCAUAAUAUCAGGCCAACCAUGGAACAUUAUGGUUGCUUGGUGGACAUGUUUGGUCGUGCUGGAAAGAUUGAAGAAGCUUAUCAGGUUAUAAAGAGCAUGCCCAUGGAACCUAAUUCUAUUGUAUUGAGGAGCUUCAUCAGUUCAUGCAGAUAUCAUGGCCGUAUUGUUUGUGAAGAAAAAAUCUGAAGCAACUUCUUAAAAUAGAGCCUGAUGUUGGAGCAAAUUACGUGCUUGCUGGGAGUAUGUGCUCUCUUUCUGGCUAUUGGAGUGACACUAAUGACCUUAGAGUUUCCAUGAAAGAAAAAGGUUUAAAGAAGGUUCCGGGAGCAGUUGGGUGCAGCUGUCUAGUGCCUAAUCCCAGAAAACUGAUAAAAAGGCCAUAAGUUCCUGUUCUGGUUCAGAUGGCUUGAGACUUGCAUUCUGGAGAGCUGAUGAACAAUUUGCUAGUUCAAAAGGCCAUUAGUUUUCUUGGUAAUAAUGAUGUUAAGAGGAAGCCCUUUGCUUCUGCAAUCAAAUGAUCUUUGUUUGCUGGUAGGAUUCUUGGAGUCUAAACUAAUUUUGGAAGAGAUGACACAUGGUUUGAGUUGCAAAGCUUUUAUGACAUGAAUACCUUCAUGCAGGAAUGCUUCUGUGCAAUUUGAGGUUGUUUCGGUUGUGGUUGGUGUAGUAUGGAAUACCUAUUUGUAAGAUACACAGAAGUUUAGAGUCUUGCUAGCAAUUGAUUACAUGGUCUCUUGAUUCUUCUAUCACAGUGGGUUUCAUUAGAGCACCGAAUUAUGCAGAAGUUUUGCUGCUGAAGUUAAAUGGCUUGAAAAUGGGACUUUCAUUAAUUGUUACGUGCAUAAAAUUGCUCAGUAUCCAAUUGCUGAACCAAUUCAGUUGUAACAGACUGCAAAGGAAUCAUGUCUGUAAUUUCAUGUGAAACAAUUACAACAGACAAGAAACCAUGGGUUUCCGCCUGAGCACGGAAGAAAAGUGAAAGAUUCUCUAUCUCCAUGCAAAAUGUGAGAUGAUAUUUUCCUUUAGGGCCAAAUUUCAGUAGUACAAGCUUCAGCUUUGUUUGGCAGUGGCGUGCAGUUAGUUGUUUAUGCCUAUUGCUACCUUGUCUUCUGCUCUCUACUGCAUAAGAGUUUUUCAGAAUUAGUUUUUAAUGGUAUGGGCCAUUUAUCUCUUGCCUUUUGGUUUCCUUAUGGAUGCAUUUGUGCUCUAGACAUACUUAUGCGUAAUGCAAUGCUAUGUUCAUCUGGAAGUCAUUUCCUUGAUUUGAAAAUCAUAAAAGAAGCAUUUAUGUGGUCCAAGUUCUCGGGACCAGUGUUCUUCUUAAGUUAUAGUGUUCAAUCAGUUUAAUUUUCUUCUGACGUUUGGCAAAUUGGAUUGGUGGGCAGUGGCAGAUGAAGUGAAAGUUGCAGCAGGCAACGAUAUCAUGCUGAAAGCUGCAUGCUAGCACGAGUAUAUGAAUCGUGAAGAUGAUUAAAGAACAAUGAGAUUAUUUGUUAGAAAAUGCUCUCAAUUCCAGAGGAUCCAAUACUAAGAGAAGUAUUGCUCCCUUUAUCACAACAUUAAUGUACUCUAUUUAGCUUUAUUCAUGUGAUUUAGGCAUUUGCAACCAUGAUAAGAAGGAUGAUAAUGAGAAGGAUGAUAAGCAUGGCCUUGUUUGUACUUUGUGUAGAUAGCUAAUUGUCUGUUCAUGACUGCUGUCUUCUAAAGGAUGCUGACCAACGGACCUGACUUUUGUAGGUUAAGGAAGAGGAAAUGCCUUUGUUUGGAAAUCACAUAAGUACUUUCAGGUUGCAGAGCUCUAUUCAUUCUAUCUUGCAGUUCUGGCUUUCCUGGUUUUUUUCUAGGUCAUAUAAUUGUUGUAUGUUAGCAUCAAUUACGGAGGCUACGCUCUAGCAAUCCAGAGAAUACAUAAUUUAUGCAUGCCAGGGUGAAUUAGCAAACUGAGUUUGUUCUUCCUGCUGGUUCUCUAAGGUUAUGAACCUUUUUUUUCAGGAUUUUGCUAGAGCAGUAAACAGUUUAAGUCACAACUAAAAUAUCUAGAGAUGAAAUAUUGUGGCUUUCAUGAGAUGCUCAUCUGACCUAUUGCUGACAAUUGUGGAGAAGUCCUGAUGUCUAAUCAAGCUGACCUCUGUAAUGGCAUCCCUGAUGAAUGUACACGUCCGGUGAAAUGUGGAAAUACAAUUUUUUUUUGGGGUUUUGAUGCCAUAUGAUGUUAGUAACUUUUCAUUUUGGUAUAAGAACUGCUUUCUUUCUCUGAAUUAGUUUGGCAGCUGAUGCUCACGUUCUGAGUGUACAAACUUAUACUGCAAUUUGGAACCUCUCUUUCUGACCGUCACUUCUGUAGAUUGAACAUCCCUUUGAAUGUGUUUUGACAGCUGACAGUCUACACAAACCUUAAUUGCUUGCUUUAUUUUAUCAAGCUCAAACUUGAACUCAAGCUCGACGAGCUGCUAAUUUAAAGCUUGAGCUCGAAUUCGAAAAAUUAAAAAAUAAUUAUUUUAAUUUUUAAAAAUAAAUAAAAUAAUAUUUUUAAUAAUAAUAAAAUAUUAGGAUAUAUAUGUAAUUUUAUUAUUAAAAUAAAAAAAAUAUAUAUACUCGAAUCGCGAGCUAACAAGUUUAAUAUUUUUGAACUUGAGCUUGAGUUCAAGUUCGAUUUGCCCAGCUCAAUCUUGACUCGAAUUAUUCUGAACAGCUCGAUUCAAGUUCGAUUUGCCCAGCUCAAUCUCGAUUCAAAUUAUUCUGAGCAGCUCGAUUCGUUUGUGAUUCUUAACUACUUUGUCCAAGAAUGGUUCCAACGAAAAUCACAUGCAUGAAACCUGUGUUAUAGUCAGCGAGUUCAGUAUUAUUUUCCAGAGGACAAAAGAACAGACAAAAAUGGUCCCUUUUGUACCCCAAUUUUUUUUGUUUGAUGCCAAUAUUAACUGAUCUAGUGGCAACCACAAUGGUGGAAUCUUUAUAAGUUGAAGUUAGACGCUCAAUGGUUCCAAAGUGUUCAGGCUUAAUGCUGAAAUUUCCUUUUUGAUUCCUUUUUAUUUAACAAUAUUGGUUUAAACCUGAAAGCAAGAUUCUAUUUGCUUAAAAGCAGUUUUAGGAAACACAACACAAUUAACAGGAGGAGAUAAACCACAUUUCAAGUUCUUUCCCCACUCUUCUUCAAAUUUGGACUCCAGCUUCUUUCCCUCCAUACUUCGAAACGGUUGCUCAUGUUUGCGCAAGGGUCCAUGACUCUUCUUUUUAUCAUUUCCUAUUGGAUUUCCUUCUACAUUUGUUAUUUCGGGUGCGUUUAAUAAAAUUGAAAUCUGAAUUUUGAAUUCUAAAACUUGAAACCUAAUAUCUAGAUCUAUUAAAUUAGUAAAAUUGUUAAAAACUGAAAUCUUAAUAUUGAACAUAUUUUGCAUUAAGCGAUAAGUGAAUCGUUUAUGAUUUAGUUUUGAGUAAGUUUCACAUAAGUUCAUUUAGAAUCAUUUAAUUAAUUAAAAUGUUCUAUUUUUUUGUUAUCAAAUACACUUAAUGUCUGAACGUAUUUAAAUGUUGAGUUGAAUUAUUAAACAGGUCUUAAUUGCUCUAAUCUAAUCAUUUAAUAGGCUAAUAGUUUAAUUAAUUUUCCAAAUUAACCAAAAAUAUUUUUGACUGCAAUAGGGAACUAGGAAAAUGUAUUGAAACUUAUUGAGAAUGCCCCAUGUGCUUGCUUUAGUACUGUUACUUUAUAUGUUACCCUACACUGAAGCUUCUGGUUCAUCAUUUGUCUGUCUCAUUGUUGGUGAAGAUUGUGCUCCAAUUCCCAAUGAUCUUUAGAGAUCAAAGUCCAUCUUAACCAUACAGAGUAGUUAAUUAAUCAUGUUGAUCUUUUCUUUUCUUGGAUAAUUAGUUCAUUAAUCAUUUUCAUAUUGGCAAAGUGCAUUUGUUUUAGAAAACGAGACGCAAAAAUCAUCCUUUUCUUCUGUAAUCCAUAUCAACUUUACAUCAUUUAACUACUCAUUUAAAGGGAUGGUAGAAUUUCCCUUGAUUUACAUAGGGAGGUUGCUUUAAAUCAAUAAAACAGUGAUACAAGUGUUUUUAUGUUUCAGAUGAACACCAGAAAAUUAUGAUCAAUUUACCAUUUUCUUGUUUGGAUUUGAAUUUUGAAUGGCAUAAUAUAUAGUAGCAUGAUUAGAAAACACAUUUUCUCACAGAAAACACACACAAACCUGAAAACGUAGGUAUACAAUUACUCUCAGUUCUUAACCCCUUCGAAAGAAGAAAAAGAAAAAAAAAAAAAACCCAAAACAGGUUGUAUACUAAACUUCUAAUACUGAUAAACGUUAAAUAUUUACACAUGAGAGGUCAAAUUCUGCUGGUCUUCAACCCAGACAUUGCACUGGAAACUAAAAAUGAACAAGAAACUAGUCUCGUACCAUACAUAGAAACUACUGCGGCUACUAUGUAGUACUACAUAUUUCUAUCUUCUGCUAAAUAAAGGGAACCAACGUUCUUGGAAAGAAGUAUGGUGAGAGACCAUAAAUAGGAGAAAAAUGAGCAGAAGUGCAACCCCAACUGGAGAGCCUCCAACCCUGUGAGGUGAGUCCUCCUCUGGUGAAGAUGUCACAGAUGGACCACUUUCUGAAUAUUCGCCCCUUGAUAGCCAGUGCACCACAAGGAGUAAAAUCACAGGAAAAAUCAGCAGCACAAGCUUCAACUCCUGUAGUAUGUCUUCAUACUUGUUCUCGUAGUUGAUGUACCAUGUGAAUACCAAGAACAAGAAAACUACGAGCAAGAAGAAGAAGAAGUGAAUGGGUAGAGAAAGGUACUGUAGAUAAUGGUUGUAUGAAGACCUGUAAUAUCUAGCCAUAGUGGUUGAUUCUGGAAGUAGCUAGUAGUGUUGUGAGGAGAGUUGGAUGUCUAUUACAAAGAGUAGUAUUGUAGCUGAGAUGUACUAGAAAGCUAGCUAGGUGAUGGUGUGAUGUAUUGUGGAUACAAGUGUAGUAGUGCUUAGAAAUAAAUGUUUCCAAGUGGGGAUCGG
rnacentral:lncRNA from 1 species